UGUGCGGUCACUUUCCCCAGCGUUAUUUGGCUAAUUGCAUCUCUUCCACAGAUGAAUAGCAGUGAUGAGUGAGCCUUUGUUGUGGUUACGACCAGAGUGUGUGUGCGUAUGUGUUUAGUGUGUAGCGAAAACAUGUCUCUCCAAAACUUCAUCUUGCCAGACUAAGACCUCAUAUCACCGGACACACACAGUGCCCGUCCUCAUCUCCACAUCCUUAUUUAUGGCAGAUAUUUAACGCACUGCGCAGCGUGGUAGCAAUGAGCUCCAUGGUUCCCCCC
ensembl:lncRNA